ensembl:lncRNA
UUUAUGUGUAUCUUCCUUAGAGAUCAUAUUUAUGGUUUGCAAAAUGAUUGCCUCACAACAGCCCUAUGAGGUAGGCACUGCAAUGAUUGUUAUCCCAGCAGAGCAGACAGGGAGGACCACUGAGGCUGAGAGAAGUGAAGUGAAAGGGUUCAAGUUCUAGGAGGAACUCUCCACUUGGAGGAGAACUUUCCAGGAUGAGAAGACUAUAUGGAAUAGAGAAGUGAAAAGGGGAGUUGAAGUAGCAUCUCUAAUGAAAAUUACAUGAAGCUGAGGAGCAGCAGGUGGCAGUAGUGAGAAUUGCCUAGCAGGAGAGAGCAGCUGAGAUAUAAUGUCUGAACGGGGCAGCUCAACAGAGAGGAGGGCAUUACCAGUAAACAAGCGUGUCCCUGCAUCAUUGGAGAAAAAAAUGAAUGAAGAUUUUAGUCAGAGCUCUGACCACAACUCCAGUCCAAACAAGAAAACCAUCCAGAGUCUGAAAAAUUCGGGAAAGGAGCAAACCUUCAGGGACCGGAGGCAGAAGGAAAAAUUGAGAGAUAACUUCCUGUGGCAGAACGAAUGGUGGGGGGAAAACAGGCUCUGCACAUUUCUCCCCCCUGUGCUUGGGCCCUGUCUCUGUGGAUGCAGCUUAAGAACGAAAUUAGUGCUUCACCCUCGGCCCCCAACACUUCCCAGGCAGACUGCCCCAAAGCUUCCAUAUUUACUAUCCAAGAGAGAGUCAACACCAUCAAUGGCCUGGUCUCAAACACGUCCUACUUCUCCUUCAUCUUUACACCCAACCUCCCCGACUGGUCUCCAGCCUACCAGUCACCCUCUGCAACCCCGGCAACUGGUCCCUUUAGGUAUUUGGCCCCAAGGUUUUAUCAUGGCUCCUCCCAAGAACAGGCCUCCCAGAAGCCAUUCCCACUUUCCUUAGGGAGGUACCCCAUUCCCUCAAGGAGAAUGAUAACUCCCUAAUCCAUUUAUAUUAAUAAUAAAAUGUAUAUUAAAAAUAAAUAUAUAUUUA